CAAAAAGAAAUCGAUACGAUCCACGUCAUAAUCCAUAUUGGAUUCCCAAAUUUAUUAAAAAAAUAAGGAGCAAUCAUAGAAUUAGAGAGAGAUCUACAAAAGGAAAUUAACUCUGUAAACAAUAGAUUUAAUAUUUCUACCGAACCUUAUAGACAGCCUAACAUUCUUGCAAAAUAUAUAGCUUUCCAAUUUAAAAAAAUAGAGUUUCAUUCCGAAAGGCAAUGA
rnacentral:rRNA from 1 species